rnacentral:rRNA from 1 species
UACGAAGGGGGCUAGCGUUGCUCGGAAUCACUGGGCGUAAAGGGUGCGUAGGCGGGUCUUUAAGUCAGGGGUGAAAUCCUGGAGCUCAACUCCAGAACUGCCUUUGAUACUGAGGAUCUUGAGUUCGGGAGAGGUGAGUGGAACUGCGAGUGUAGAGGUGAAAUUCGUAGAUAUUCGCAAGAACACCAGUGGCGAAGGCGGCAUCCUGGACCAAUACUGACACUGAGGAGCGAAAGCCAGGGGAGCAAACGGG